rnacentral:lncRNA from 1 species
UUGCGACUUGAGGCCGUCAGAUUCAUUGGUGAGCCCAGCCCCUGGGUCCCUCUUGGGGCAGCCUUUGGCAGCCCCAGGCACUGCCCUGUUGCCCCCAGAGCCCCCCGACUGGGCCCUUGCUCCAGGGUGCAGGAGGGGGCACAGCCUGGCUGGCCAGGCCAGGGGCUGCGCUGCUGGGAGCGUGCUGGGGAGCGGGGCUCUGAUGGGGUCUCUGUGUCUAGGUCUUGCUGCGCGCUACUGCGAGGACCAGAGCGAGGAGAAGCAGAAUGAAAUCCUCAGAGUCCUCCAGCCUUCAAAGAAAGACCCGGAACCCAUGGUCCGUUCCUUGGCAGUUCAAACCACCGUGAUGCUGACGUCAAGGCAUACCGCAACGUCAGGACGGAGAUUUCCACUGCCGUGUUGCCGCUAGCCCCGCAGCAGUCCCCAAAACCCUUUCGUAAAUAUUACUAUAAAUGUUUAAAUCUUGCACAUUUUAUAAAUAUGACUAAAUUCAGAUCGAGUUGAGACUUCAUUUGUAACAAGCCUAACGUUCAGCUCUCCAGGAGUAGACCCAAUCUUCCAAGUUCCUCUCAUGGGUCCCUUUUCUCCUGACCCAUCCUGGAACCUUCAAAGAAUUUCGGAAUCCCUGGAACCCUCUAAAAGCUUCCAAAUCCCUGGCCCCCCAGCACCUUCCCAGUACCUCCCAGUAGUGCCUGUAUCUAGAGGUGUCUAGCAAGUGGUUAACCCACCCAGUGCCUCCCAAUAUUGCUUAGAGGCCCCAGCACCCUCCCAGUGCCCCCCAGUAAUGCCUAUGGGCCUUUAGGACCCUCCCAGUGUCCCCCAGUAUUGCCUAUGGGCCUUCAGCACUCUCCCAGUGCCCCCCCAGUAUUGCUCAGAGCCUCCCAGCACCCUCCCAGUGUCCCCCAGUAAUGCCUAUGAGCCUUCAGGACCCUCCCAGUGCCCCCCGGUAAUGCCUAUGGGCCUUCAGAACCCUCCCAGUGCCCCCCAGUAAUGCCUAUUGGCCUUCAGGACCCUCCCAGUGUUCCCCAGUAAUGCCUAUGGGCCUUCAGGACCCUCCCAGUGUCCCCCAGUAAUGCCUAUGGACCUUCGUUACUCUCCCAGUGCCCCCCAGUAAUGCCUAUGGGCCUUCAGAACCCUCCCAGUGCCCCCCAGUAAUGCCUAUUGGCCUUCAGGACCCUCCCAGUGUCCCCCAGUAAUGCCUGUGGACCUUCAGCACUCUUCCAGUGCCCCCCCAGUAUUGCCCAGAGCCCCCCAGCACCCUCCCAGUGCCCCCCAGUAAUGCCUAUUGAUCCUUG